AUUGAACGCUGGCGGCAGGCUUAACACAUGCAAGUCGAGCGAGCGGCGGACGGGUGAGUAAUGUCUGGGAAACUGCCUGAUGGAGGGGGAUCACUACUGGAAACGGUAGCUAAUACCGCCUCCCAUCAGAUGUGCCCAGAUGGGAUUAGCUAGUAGGGGGGGUAAUGGCUCACCUAGGCGACGAUCCCUAGCGGGUCCGAGAGGAUGACCGUCAACACUGGAACGGAGACACGGGCAAGACGCCUACGGGGGGCAGCAGUGGGGAAGAGUGGACAAUGGGGGCAAGCGUGAUGAAGACAUGCCGCGUGUGUUGAAAGGGCCUUGGGGUGGUAAAGCACUGUCAGCGGGGAGGCGGUACUCGCAGAAGAAGCACCGGCUAACUCCGUGCCAGCAGCCGCGGUAAUAC
rnacentral:rRNA from 1 species